rnacentral:rRNA from 1 species
GACGAACGCUGGCGGCGUGCUUAACACAUGCAAGUCGAACGGAAAGGCCCUGCUUUUGUGGGGUGCUCGAGUGGCGAACGGGUGAGUAACACGUGAGUAACCUGCCCUUGACUUUGGGAUAACUUCAAGAAACUGGGGCUAAUACCGGAUAGGAGCUCCUGCUGCAUGGUGGGGGUUGGAAAGGUUCGGCGGUUGGGGAUGGACUCGCGGCUGAUCAGCUUGUUGGUGGGGUAGUGGCUUACCAAGGCUUUGACGGGUAGCCGGCCUGAGAGGGUGACCGGCGACAUUGGGACUGGGAUACGGCCCAGACUCCUACGGGAGGCAGCAGUGGGGAAUAUUGCACAAUGGGCGGAAGCCUGAUGCAGCAACGCCGCGUGCGGGAUGACGGCCUUCGGGUUGUAAACCGCUUUCGCCUGUGACGAAGCGUGAGUGACGGUAAUGGGUAAAGAAGCACCGGCUAACUACGUG